rnacentral:rRNA from 1 species
UACGUAGGCAGCGAGCGUUGUUCGGAAUUACUGGGCGUAAAGAGUGUGUAGGCGGUGCUCUAAGUUCGGUGUGAAAUCUCCUGGCUCAACUGGGAGGGUGCGCCGGAAACUGGAGUGCUUGAGCGUGGGCGAGGAAAGCGGAAUUCCUGGUGUAGCGGUGAAAUGCGUAGAUAUCAGGAGGAACACCUGUGGUGUAGACGGCUUUCUGGACCAUAGCUGACGCUGAGACACGAAAGCGUGGGUAGCAAACAGG